rnacentral:misc_RNA from 1 species
AGUGGAUGGAUUCUCAUAGGCAUCGUUCAUACGGCGGCGACCUCGACGGUAGGUCUUGCGCAGCCCGCCGGCGAUUGCCUGCCAACCAUCCUCCUCCAACUCCCACCCAUCGACGCGAUCGCGUGCUGCUCGAAUCGUCUCCUCGAACUCUUCCAGCCGGGCAUCGAGGUCGAACUCAUGCGUGGCGAUGUGCUCGCGGCGGUGCGCUAGCUCCCCUGAAACAGAUACGAAUCGCUCGCGAUCGAUAACGUCCCCGAACAGUUCCAUCAACUGCUCGAACGUUUCAAUCAUCGCCUCGGCGUCCCGAAGCGCAGAGAGACGGCGCGCG